GGAGGCUAACAUUUUCUUUUUAUUGUAAAUCAGGAUAAUUAUGGCAUGUCGAGAGUGGUGUUAAAUAUAAAGAAGGGAGAUAAGGGAUGUGUUUAUUUCAUUAGUUCGUUUCUGGAUGGUGUUAGCUUUCAUUUUUACCAGUUUGAAUAGUCAAACUACUACCAAUGGAUGACACUUCUAUGGUGUUUAUUGGUAGAGGUAAUAUUACACCUUGAUUCCCUUCAACACAGAGUAUUGGCUCACACCGAACAGCAAGCUAUUAAGGGUCCAACCAUUCAAACAGGAAAACCAAGGGUCUAAUCUAUAUAAAAAACGAGAAACAUGUAUGGA
rnacentral:lncRNA from 1 species